AACAUGUCUAGCUUGCUAGAUGAUGUCGAGUGGCGGACGGGUGAGUAAUGCUUGGGAACUUGCCUUUGCGAGGGGGAUAACAGUUGGAAACGACUGCUAAUACCGCAUAAUGUCUUCGGACCAAACGGGGCUUAGGCUCCGGCGCAAAGAGAGGCCCAAGUGAGAUUAGCUAGUUGGUGAGGUAAAGGCUCACCAAGGCAACGAUCUCUAGCUGUUCUGAGAGGAAGAUCAGCCACACUGGGACUGAGACACGGCCCAGACUCCUACGGGAGGCAGCAGUGGGGAAUAUUGCACAAUGGGGGAAACCCUGAUGCAGCCAUGCCGCGUGUGUGAAGAAGGCCUUCGGGUUGUAAAGCACUUUCAGUUGUGAGGAAAAGUUAGUAGUUAAUACCUGCUAGC
rnacentral:rRNA from 1 species